rnacentral:lncRNA from 1 species
CCCAGUUCGUGCCGUGAGGAGGGCGGGCGGACUUUGUGUGCAGAUUUCCCGCAGACCUGCAGCGCAGGGGUCCCACAGGAGGGAGGUUCGAGCCUCUGACGCCAAAAAGAGCCCGAUUUCGGAGUUUAUCAGCUCGUGUAAGAGCAGUACGUUUGCACAUGUCCCCUCCUUCCGAGUGGGGGGGGGGGGGGGGCUGUAAGUGGUCCUUCGUGUCCAUCUUACAGCAAUUUAGCCAUCGGUAGAGCAGGAGCAUUUUUACUGUGUCAAUUUAGCGAAGUACCUGGGUCAAGGGUACGAGAGCAGGAGGUGGGAUUGAAGCCCGGGUCGUUCACCUCUAAUGACUGCGCCUCCUGCUGGCACACUGAGCUCAGCUGCAGACACACCAACGCAGCACACACCCACUGUCUUUAUAGGGGCUGUGGGGGGGUCAGGCACCGCACCCCCCACCAGAGACACAGCCACAGCUCAUAUGAGAUCCACACCUUUGAGCUGCAUUGGGGGGGGGGUUGUUUGCCCCCUGCUCACGCAGGUUCGAGGAAACCGGUUUCUCUCACGCUCCCGAUGGAUUCGACGACCCCGAACAAAAUCUGUGUCGCAUCGCUGUAUGUGAGACGGCCGCUCCGGGACCGUGUCUUUCCUCCGUGCUGCGGGACAGGCCCGUUCACGCCGCCGCUUCUGUGCUUCUGUGGCUCGCACCUUCACCCGCUUCCUGCCAUGAGGGUGGGGUGGGGUGGGGGGGCCGGGGGUCCCGGUUCCAGAGCCCCGGGGCUUCCAGGCCAGAGAGCGGCUCGUAUUCGUAGCGUGGGGGGUGGAGUGUGUGUGUGUGUGUGUGUGUGUGUGUGUGUGUGCGGGGGGGGGGUGGGGGGCAGUGCCAGGGUUCGACUCGGCAAAACAAAGCGAACCUGAACAAGAAAAAGAGCAGAACAACAAGACAGAAGGAGCGCAAAAGAGAAGAGAGAAGAAAAGAAAAACUAAAGAAAAUGAAACACAACAAGAGAAUGGGAACCAAAACAGAAGUAAACAGCGGAACAGAUAAAAAG